CGGGGAAAGGAAUCUAUCAGCUGCCAGAAUGUUAUGUACGUGCUCAUGUCUUUGUUCGUGAGCUAGAUUUUAUAUCAUCAUAGAACACAGUCAAGCAAAAGUUAUACCAAAAAGGUAGAAAUCCAAGCUGCUAAUUGCAAGAUGUCUUACUUCUAAGGGGUGUGAUUUUAUGACGUAGCUUGUGAGCACAAUUGGUAGCAAUGUGAAGGAGUAAUUGGUCUUUGUACAACAUCCUGUGAUGAUACAGUAGGCCUGUUUCUCAUUAGAGAACAGCGCUGGGUGUCUAGAGAGGUCUUUAAUAGAGAGUCAGAAGGUCACUUCCUCCAUCCUAAUAUGAUAUUCAGCUUUUACACUUUGGUUUGGCAUGGAAAUUAAGACUGGAACCAACACCUUUACUAAAAGUAGUCUUUCAUUGAGCUGAUUAUCACUUGAUAUUUGAGCUGAUAAAUACAUUCCUUGUUAUUAGUGUCAAA